rnacentral:piRNA from 1 species
GGGGCCUGUGAGCGUAACAGUGUCC